rnacentral:rRNA from 1 species
CCUACGGGAGGCAGCAGUGGGGAAUAUUGGACAAUGGGCGAAAGCCUGAUCCAGCCAUGCCGCGUGUGUGAAGAAGGCCUUCGGGUUGUAAAGCACUUUCAGUGGGGAAGAAAGCCUUGGGACUAAUACCCUCGAGGAAGGACAUCACCCACAGAAGAAGCACCGGCUAACUCCGUGCCAGCAGCCGCGGUAAUACGGAGGGUGCGAGCGUUAAUCGGAAUUACUGGGCGUAAAGCGCGCGUAGGCGGUCUGAUAAGCCGGUUGUGAAAGCCCCGGGCUCAACCUGGGAACGGCAUCCGGAACUGUCAGGCUAGAGUGCAGGAGAGGAAGGUAGAAUUCCCGGUGCAGCGGUGAAAUGCGUAGAGAUCGGGAGGAAUACCAGUGGCGAAGGCGGCCUUCUGGACUGACACUGACGCUGAGGUGCGAAAGCGUGGGUAGCAAACAGGAUUAGAUACCCGAGUAGUC